rfam:Synechocystis sp. PCC 6803 DNA, complete genome.
GAGGUUGUAGCUCAGACGGAUAGAGCAAGCGCCUCCUAAGCGCUGGGCCGCCGGUUCGACUCCGGCCAACCUCG